UGGGGAUGCCAGAGGGAGUAAGACAAGAGUUCAGGGAGCAUGUCUCAUUAUGGGUCCUGCCAUUCUAAUGCUGGGGGGUGGAGGUGGGGGGUUGGAGCCAGGGCUGCUCAGAGGACACAGCAUAGAAACCAGCUUUCUGCACAGUGUGCUUGCCUGGGGGUGAGGGGAUGGGAGCCUAUGUCUGGUAACGCAGAGGCAAACUGUACAACACUGAAGUCUCUAGUAUCAGUAAUUCCAGGGUUACAGCAAAAGCCCACCUGCUGCUGGGCAAGGUGUGUUCCCGGUUCACUUAAGUGAGUAACCUCCCCUGCACUUGGGAUCCCUGCUGCAUAGACAAGAAGAGGAACGCUCUGGACUUCUUUGUAACUAUUCUUUGUGUCUAUGCUCUAUUUCUUUCCACA
rnacentral:lncRNA from 1 species